CGGCGCACAGGUGCAGCUGCGCGCGGGAGAGAGAGAGGAAAACGCCAGCGGCCCCCUCCCUCCGGCUCACAAACCCAUCAUUAGGACAAUUUUCCUCGCGCGCAGAUCGGCAGGCCUGUGAUUUGAAUCUGUGGAUCACCUGUAAUAGUAGUUUUUAGCGCUCAUCUGAUUCCAUACAUUUAGCGCCGGCCCGGAGCCUGAGAGCGCGUUUGUGUCGCCAGCUGCAGCCGGAACUCUUUUAGCCGCUGACGCUGAUGGUUUUUACAGACCCUGUCCGUCAUAUCUCCGUUUGCGCUCGCAAUUACGCUAAUUAUUGAUUUUUUUCUUGCCGGAACAAUGACAAGGAGCCCCGGUUUCUCCGGGUGCGCAGGUUUGCCCCCGUGAUUGUCGCCUGCGUAAUUAACGGGGCGGAUCUUUAUGAUCGUCAUCUCUCUAUGGGAUGUAAACAAAUUAAACUAUUUUGACAAUAUGGCAAGGUUUCCUCCAAGACUGGACACAGUGAGUGAGUGAGUGAGUGAGUGAGUGAGUGAGUGAAUCACUACAACGCGCUCAUCUGCGGAGAAGUUUCCAAACGAGAUAAAACGUCCAACUUUGCUCUCCGUGUCCUUUGAUUUACUGCAGCCUUCAGUGAUCGAGUUCACACAGAGGUGCUGCAGCAGCAUCAUCAUCAGCAGCAGCAGUGGGAAACAAUUCUAGAGUGUGGAGUCUAACUGUUAUUGAUCGUGCGUUAUAAUUGUUAGCGAUGACUUCCUGUGUGCCACACUGGUGAAGAACACAUAAAGCUCUGAAUAUACUUAUUUAGCCAAGGCGGGGGGGUGGGGUCAUUCUGGUCAUCGGUUGUCAGGAAGAAAAAGAGAGAGAAACAAAACCAUUCGGAAGUUUGAGGUCCCCGGAGACGCUCACGCUGGGCCGCUGUCCGUGAUGCAUUAAUCAUGUCCGAAUCCUCAAGACAAAGGGCCACACGUUUCUCGUCUGCAUGUGAAAUGAUGCGACGCGGGCCUGCCACGAGGUUAAACUCUCAAACGUGCUCUUUGAUGGGCUUUAAUGAGAUGUCAGCGUCCAGACAGAUUUCUCUGCUGUCCGGUAAAAACAGGCCACAGAGCACGAAGCCUGCUUAAAAACACACCUAGAUGUGUCCCGAUCUUCCACGCGAUCACAGCGUCAGAAGUGUGACGUUCAUCAGUCAAACCGAUGCACAGAGACACUAGACUGAAACACGUCCGUCUCUGGAUCUCCUCUAAGAGCUUCACACUGAUGAACUUUAACAAAAUCUGAUUUUCUGAAGGGAUCAGUGCUUGAACUGCCACAGAUCACCUUCGUUGUUUUUAUUAGUCCUCUGUGACUGCUAUCCAGUAGGAAAAAACUAUCUAAAAAUCUUUGACACAAAUAAAUUUACUUGAGAAGAUUUUAGAUAUUGUAACUGAAAAAUAUUACAGAACUUUUGUAGUGUUUGCAGUUCUCACCACAAUCAUACAGCAGGCCUAUGUGCAAUUAUCCAAAUUAUUUAUCAUCACUUACUCUAAAGCACAUCUCAACCCUGAUGUACUUUAAUUAUAAUAAUUUAAAUAGAUCAUAUCUGUUAGCAUCAGACAUUUAUCACAUAUUAAAAUGUAAAAUAUAAUAACUUGCGAUGUCUCUUUCAAAACACUUGAGUUGAAUACGUCAGGGUCAGAGGUUGCAAAUCUUACAGCACACCACAUUAUUCACAGCCAAUAUUCUGAUUACUGUCAUUUUUCUCAUAACAGAUUAGAACUAUUACGCUUAUCAUGGAAAGAAACGUCUGAUAAAGACUGUAAGAGAAACUUACCUCUGGUUGAACCUUUGAAUGAUGUCACUUCCAUGAACUGUCUCGGAACGAUCAGAAAGAAACAUUGUAAAGGGAAAAGUCAAUAACAGGGUUGAACAGAAAGCACAGGACAGAAUAUGAACAGACACUGAAAGCAUUACAUUUUAAUUUUAAUAAAAGCAAAACUUAGGUAGAA
ensembl:lncRNA